AAGGUGGGGCUGAUGACUGGGGUGAAGUCGUAACAAGGUAUCCGUACCGGAAGGUGCGGAUGGAUCACCUCCUAACAGGGAGACAACACAAUGAUUUUGAUGCCUGAGUAUUUUUAUUCUUAGGCCGAAAUCCUGUCACCUUAGGUCGAUCGGUACCUCAGCUUUGAAGUUAAGAAUCAGCAGCAAUGUUGAUUGCUUGAUGGAGAUUUUCAGUUCCUAAACUUUGUCUAGGUCACACCCCAAAAGGGAUGAGACUCCUGGGCCAUUAGCUCAGGUGGUUAGAGCGCACCCCUGAUAAGGGUGAGGUCCCUGGUUCAAGUCCAGGAUGGCCCAUUCGGUGUUGGGGGUUUAGCUCAGUUGGUAGAGCGCCUGCUUUGCAAGCAGGAUGUCAGGAGUUCGAGUCUCCUAACCUCCACUGACCGAACUUUAUCCCCCCUCCAUUCAAUGGAGUUGAGCUCGAUUGGUGUGUGAUUUAGAUGUGUCCGCUGGAUGACCCCAGCUUCCUGUCAUUCCAAGUUUUAAGUUCAAAGCUUUGAAUUUGGUUGAUAAGAUGCUGGGCUCGGAUCAAAUGAUCAAGUAAUUGAUGAUUUGAUUUGAAGUUCUAGCAGAACCUUGACAACUGCAUAGGUGAAGUCUGGAAAAACAAAGCAUCUUACAGAUGCAUUGUUUUGAGUCUAAUUUUCUGAAAGGAAGAUUAGACCCAGAACAAUGAAAAUUCUUUUGAGCAAGAGCCGAGACUCUUGAAUGUUCUUUGAUUCGUGUCGAGCGAAUCAGAGUUUGAUCUUGUUUUUAGCAAUAAAAACUUGAGAAUCUGCUUUCAACGGCGGUAAGCGUUCAAGAGGUUAAUUGGUCAAGCUACAAAGGGCUCACG
rnacentral:misc_RNA from 1 species